CUACAUCGCUGGCGAGCCGCGGAGAACAGCUGGAGCUCCAGACAGCGUCCAUUCAUUCCAUCACAAAGCUCUCCGCAAGCAUUAGGUAAGGUUAUUUUGUGAUUUAUAGAUUCUUUCUCUUGACACGAUCGGAGACUUAUAUUUGAAAGUAAGGAGUCCAGAGGAAAAACUGCAAGCUCUCAGCCAGGCAAGAAAACUUUCAAGCUUUGACACGCUUUCACAAAGCUCUAGGUAAGGUUAUUUUGUGAUUUAUAUAUUCUUUGACACGAUCGGACACUUAUAUUUUGAAAGUAAGGAGUCCAGAGGAAAAACUGCAAGCUCUCAGCCAGGCAAGAAACCUUUCAAACUUUCAUUUAAGAGAAACGCUUUGAAAGAGCUAGCUUCGCAAUUCUAGCGAAUCUCACGACGAAUACAGUCGCCAGCGAUGAAUAGAGUUUAUCUCGCUAGCUCUCUCAGCCUGCUCUCGUCGCGACCAUGGCCACAACGAAGGGUUCGUGGACAGCGGGUAGAGGCAACGCUUACUUGCAGUAAUCGGCGGCCAACUUGGGCUUAGUCAUACAGGACGAGAUGAGCGAUGUGCGUGGUGGUGGUGAUAAGAAGUCCAAACUCGAUCAC
rnacentral:lncRNA from 1 species